CCGGGAGUUCUGGGCUAUAGUGUUCUAUGAUGAGGUGUCUGCACUAAGUUGGCAUCAAUGUGGUGACCUCCCGGGAGUGGGGACUGACGGGUUGCCUAAGGAGGGGUGAACUGACCCAGGUUGGAAACAAAUGAAAAAUUCCUGGGCUAAUCAGUAGUGGAAUUUCACCUGUUAACAGCCACUACCCUCCAGCCUGG
ensembl:misc_RNA Metazoa_SRP Metazoan signal recognition particle RNA